GACGUGACUUCAGAGUUUGAUCCUGGCUCAGGAUGAACGCUAGCGGCAGGCCUAAUACAUGCAAGUCGAGGGGCAUCGCGGGCAGCAAUGCCUGGCGGCGACCGGCGGACGGGUGCGUAACGCGUAUGCAACCUGCCCCCUACCGGGGGAUAGCCCGGGGAAACCCGGAUUAAUACCCCAUGGCACACUGCCACGGCAUCGUGGUGGUGUUAAAGGUUUACCGGUAGGGGAUGGGCAUGCGUGCCAUUAGCUAGUUGGUGGGGUAACGGCCCACCAAGGCUGCGAUGGCUAGGGGGCCUGAGAGGGUGGUCCCCCACACUGGCACUGAGAUACGGGCCAG
rnacentral:rRNA from 1 species